UCCCUCAUAGCUCAGUUGGUAAAGAAUUUGCCUGCAAUGCAAGAGACCCCACUUUGAUUCCUGGGUCAGGGAG
rnacentral:tRNA from 1 species